rnacentral:rRNA from 1 species
UACGGAGGGUGCAAGCGUUGUUCGGAAUCACUGGGCGUAAAGGGCGUGUAGGUGGCUCAUUAAGUCAGGUGUGAAAUCCUUCCGCUUAACGGAAGAAGUGCACUUGAAACUGAUGGGCUUGAGUACGGGAGAGGAAGGUGGAAUUCCUGGUGUAGAGGUGAAAUUCAUAGAUAUCGGGAAGAACACCGGUGGCGAAGGCGGCCUUCUGGCCCGAUACUGACACUGAGACGCGAAAGCGUGGGGAGCAAACAGG